CAGGCUUAACACAUGCAAGUCGAGGGGUAGCAGGGAGCUUGCUCCGCUGACGACCGGCGAACGGGUGCGUAACGCGUAUAGAAUCUACCUCUUACUAAGGGAUAGCCCAGAGAAAUUUGGAUUAAUAUCUUAUAGUAUAUAGACUUGGCAUCAAGAUUAUAUUAAAGGUUACGGUAAGAGAUGACUAUGCGUCCUAUUAGCUAGAUGGUGUGGUAACGGCACACCAUGGCGACGAUAGGUAGGGGCCCUGAGAGGGGGAUCCCCCACACUGGUACUGAGACACGGACCAGACUCCUACGGGAGGCAGCAGUGAGGAAUAUUGGACAAUGGAGGCAACUCUGAUCCAGCCAUGCCGCGUGCAGGAAGACUGCCCUAUGGGUUGUAAACUGCUUUUAUACAGGAAGAAACACUCUCACGUGUGAGAGCUUGACGGUACUGUAAGAAUAAGGAUCGGCUAACUCCGUGCCAGCAGCCGCGGUAAUACGGAGGAUCCAAGCGUUAUCCGGAAUCAUUGGGUUUAAAGGGUCCGUAGGUGGAUGAUUAAGUCAGAGGUGAAAUCCUGCAGCUCAACUGUAGAAUUGCCUUUGAUACUGGUUAUCUUGAGUUAUUAUGAAGUAGUUAGAAUAUGUAGUGUAGCGGUGAAAUGCAUAGAUAUUACAUAGAAUACCAAUUGCGAAGGCAGAUUACUAAUAAUAUACUGACACUGAUGGACGAAAGCGUGGGGAGCGAACAGGAUUAGAUACCCUGGUAGUCCACGCCGUAAACGAUGGUCACUAGCUGUUCGAAUUUCGGUUUGAGUGGCUAAGCGAAAGUGAUAAGUGACCCACCUGGGGAGUACGUUCGCAAGAAUGAAACUCAAA
rnacentral:rRNA from 1 species